rnacentral:misc_RNA from 1 species
GAAAUGCGAUAAGUAAUGUGAAUUGCAGAAUUCAGUGAAUCAUCGAAUCUUUGAACGCACAUUGCGCCCCCUGGUAUUCCGGGGGGCAUGCCUGUUCGAGCGUCAUUUCACCACUCAAGCCUCGCUUGGUAUUGGGCGACGCGGUCCGCCGCGCGCCUCAAAUCGACCGGCUGGGUCUUCCGUCCCCUCAGCGUUGUGGAAACUAUUCGCUAAAGGGUGCCGCGGGAGGUCACGCCGCAAAACAACCCCAUUUCUAGGGUUGACCUCGGAUCAGGUAGGGAUACCCGCUGAACUUGAGC